AGUUCCCGUUCCUUUCCGCGGCCGACUGCGGUCUUGAGGGUGCUGGACUGCCGCGGGGUGCGUGGCGCUCGGGGGCGCCGGCUGACGGCGGCCUGGAGGGCGUCCUCGGCGGUGUCUGGACGCGCGCUUUGCCUCUUCUCUGCGACAGAUGCGCCAGAGUUUUAAGUUAACCCCCAGGUCUCACGUAUCCUAAGUGAUCUACCUAUAACCUAGAUGCUGCUUUACUUUUUCUAAGGGACUUUGAAGCUCUUCGUAAAACACCAGGGAAGAUAAAGCUCUAGGUGCUUUGUGAUGGUUUGAUUUUUUAAAUUUAUGUUUUGCAGUGUCCGAUUUUUACCCCUGCCUUUGCUGGGGCUAUCCAUGUAUAUGGAUGUAUGUGUAUAUUUCUCUUUGCUUUCUGCAUGGUACAUGUGUGCGUACGUAGAUGGACACGCGAUGAAAAGUCAUGGAGAGCUUGCCUCUUGCUCUCCUCCAGGACUCCCUGGCUCUAGUCUUGGGAAAAUCCGACCUUCUUAUGGCUGCCUUAUCUGUAAAUUAGAAAUAAGCCUUUCCUAAUAAGACUUAUUUCUGUAAAUAAGCCUUACCUAUCUUCAGGCCCAGGAUAAAUUACAGCUAUGGAAAAAAAUACUGCUUAGGAGAAUCACCUGGAACCAAGUUCUAAACAGAAUAUGUGUAUUUCUUUCUUUUUGUACUAUAAAAGUAACCAAAUAGCCAGAAUAAGCCAGCCAUUUGUUAAAACCCCAUGAGUAUGGGAAAUUUUUCUAGCUAGAGAGCUUUGUUUUUUCCCAGUGGGACUUUACCUUGUAGUUUUCAUGCUUAAAAUUUUGUGAGGAGAAGAAAGAAUUUGAAAGAUCAUAAAAGACAGCAACUCUUUAAAAGCUGUAAAUUUAAAAGUUAUCUAUUAGAGAAAACCUAUCACUACUGCCAAAGGGCGUUUAGCAGUUGGAUACCUCAGGUUCAACAGGAGGACCAUUAUUCAGAGUUUAAUCAGAUUUUUAAAAUUUGAAUGGGACUUCAUUUAGUAAAACUAUUCAUGGUGUUCUGGCUUUCUCUUUGCAUAAAUGUGGUCAAGAAUGUGUGUUUAGCUUCACUAUGGCCAGCAAACAAUGAUGCUGUAUCUUAUAGAUUCCCCUCUCCAACAACAUAUUUCGCUGGCAUAUUUUAUUCUCAUAGCCAUUCCUAUAGUGUAGAGAUUUUCGACAAUCCUUGUCUGCCCAGAGCAACAUUACUUAUUCAAUAAAUUGAGUUUAAAUUGCAAGUCUUUUGCCUGCAAAACUUAACAUACAUUCUCAUAUAUAUUUAUAUAUAUGAGCUAUAUAUAUAAUUAACGUAUAAUGAACACAAUUGUAGAUCAGAUCAAACACCAUGUUACCAUGUUAAGAACAAUAGUUAGGCCAACAUUUCAACUUUGAAAAUAUUUUCUUUAAGAGCUCCUGAAUUCCUCCAGCUUCCCCUUCCUGAAUUCAGACUGCAGAGCCUCUCAGUUACAAACUAACAGGAAUCACAGAAUUAGGUGUUUUUGUUUCGCUUGAGUUGUAGUUUAUUUUGGGAAGGAAAUGGGAUAUCACUGGGAUAAAGUUUAUUAUCUCCUUCCUCAGUUGAGUAAAUAGUGAAUAUCACGUACCAAUGAAUAAGAAGCCUACAAAGGUAAGACACAUCUUAGUGAGGAAACUACAGCAUAGAGAAAAGAGUAAGACAGAAAUAACCGUAAUUAUGGCCAGGCACGGUGGCUCACCCUUGUAAUCCCAGCAGUUUGGAAGGCCGAGGUGGGUGGAUCACCUGAAGUCAGGAGUUUGAGACCAGCCUGACCAACAUGGUGAAACCCCAUCUCUACUAAAUACAAAAAAUUAGCCGGUCGUCGUGGUGCAUGCCUGUAGUCCCAACUAGUUGGGAGACUGAGGCAGGAGAACCUCUUGAACUCCGGAGGCGGAGGUUGCAGUGAGCUGAGAUUGUGUCAUUGCACUCCAGCCUGAGCAACAAGAGCAAAACUCCGUCUCAAAAAAAAAAAAAAAAGAAAGAAAGAAAGACCUGUAAUUAUAGGUCGGGCACGGUGGCUCACGCCUAUUAUCCCAACAGUUUGGGAGGCCGAGGCAGGCAGAUCACCUGAGGUCGUCGGGAGUUUGAGACCAGCCUGGCCGACAUGGUGAAACCUUGUCUCUACUAAAAAUACAAAAAUUAGCCGGACAUGGUGGCACGUGCCUUUAACCCCAGCUACGUGGGAGGCUGAGGCACGAGAAUCAUUUGAACCCAGGAGGCAGAGGUUGCAGUGAGCCGAGACCGUGUCAUUGCACUCCAGCCUAGGCAACAGAGUGAGACUCUGUCUAAAAAAACAAACAAACAAACAAAUAAAAAAAUAGAAAGAGAGAGAGAGAGACAGAUGUCCUAUCGAAACAAUCCCUAAGAGGGGGGCCUGGGCAUGGAUAUGUUUUGUUUGAUUUAUUUUUUAUUUUUAUUUAUUUAUUUUUUUUUUUUUUUUUGAGACAGAGUCUCACUCCGUCACCCAGGCUGGAGUGCAGUAGCACGAACCUGGCUCACUGCAAGCUCUACCUCCCGGGUUCACGCCAUUCUCCUGCCUCAGCCUCCUGAGUAGCUGGGACUACAGGCGCCCGCCACCAUGCCCGGCUAAUUUUUUUUUGUAUUUUUUAGUAGAGACGGGGUUUCACCAUAUUAGCCAGGAUGGUCUUGAUCUCCUGACCUCAUGAUCCACCUGCCUUGGCCUCCCAAAGUGCUGGGAUUACAGGCAUGAGCCACCGCGCCCGGCCUGUGGAUGUGUUUUAAACCCACUCCCCAGGUACCUGAAACGUGCAGCCAGUAUUGAGAACUACCGACAAAACAGUCCUCAAACCCCAAAAGAUUGCAGAUAUGGAAAUUAAUGCCUAAAGAUGUUAAGUGACUUAACAAGAGCUAGACCAAUUAACUCUGCAAUUCGAACAGGAACACAUAACUCUUUAUUUCUUUUAUUUUUUUAUUUUUGUGAAAACAAGAUCUCACUCUGUUACCCAGGCUGGAGUGCAGUGGUGCAAUCAUAGCACACUGCAGCCUCAAACUCCUGGGCUCAAGUGAUCCUCCCACCUUGGCUUUCCCAGUAGCUAGGACUACAGGCAUGCACCACCAUACCUGGCUAAUUUUUAAAUUUUUAGUAGAGACAAAGUCUUUGUUGCCCAGGCUUAUCUUGAACUGCUGGAUUCAAACGAUCCUCCUGCCUCUGCCUCCCAAAAUGCUAGGAUUACAGGCACAUACCACCAUGCCCAGCAGAACACAGAACUCUUGAUUCCAUGGUCAAAUGUUCCACUAUAUUUGAAUUAAAAAGAUAUCAUCAAUAAAUACAGCAGAGGGCAUUGUCACAGUUACAGAACGGUGGCUGUUUGGCACACCUACCGAAUUGACAUUCUACUUAUGUUUAUCUGGACUCUGAGAAAUAUUUCAUUUGGAAAAAGUAUCCACUGUCUUUUUGGGGUUUUUAAUUUCCUUUUCUUAGAAACCUUAUAUUAGGCUGGGUGCAGUGGCUCAUGCCUCUAAUCCUAGUACUUUGGGAGGCCAAGGCAGGAGAAUUGCUUGAGCCUGCGAGGUCCAGGCUGCAGUGAGCCAUGAUGGCACUACUGCACUACACCCUGGACAACAGAGCAGGACCCUAUCUCAAAAAAAAAAAAAACCUUUGUAGUAAAGGGUAGAGACAGUAUAGUUUUGUUGAUAGUUUGUUCUGGCUUUCAUUUCAGUUUUUCCCAAACUAACUGUAGAGUUCAUAAAUCCAUAUUGCAUUUUUGUGAAAGUUUUGCAUGCAAAAUUGUGGAUCUGUAGUUCCAUUAACAGUAGAAAGCCAUAAAGAGGUUUUGAGCAGGAAGGUGCCAGUAUUGGAGCUGCCCACCUUUACCUGGAAUGUCUGUGAGACAAAUGAGGGCAGAAGUAGAAACAGGGGCAGAGAAGAGACAAGGACCUAAAACCAAAGUAGCUGUGGGAAUGGAAAGGAGGGCCAAGAGUGAAAUGGGAGACAGUGCAAUGUUCAGAAUUUGCCAGUGACUAACUCUGAGGCAGAAGAAAGAAUCAAAAGUCAGAGAGUGGGCCAGGAGCAGUGGCUCAUGCCUGUAAUUCUAGCACUUGGGAAGGCCAAGGUGGAAGAUCGCUUGAGGCCAGGAAUUCAAGACCAAACUGGGCAACAUAAUGAGACCCCAUUGCUACAAAAAAUAAUUUUUAACCUGCCAGGCUCAGUGGCUCACACCUGUUGUCCUGGCUACUCAGGAGACUGAGGAGGGAGAAUUGCUUGAGCCCAGGAGUUCAAGGCUGCAGUGAGCUAUAAUCAUGCCACUGCACUCCAGCUUGGGCAAGAGAGCAAGAUCCUGUCACCAAAAAAAAAAAAAAAAAAAAAGUCCGUGAACUCUGAGUGACGGCAGUAUGUGCAACAGUGGGACACGCAAGAGAGGAACUGGGUCAGAGGAGAUGUGGACCCUUGAAUCAGGAGAUCCUGGACUCAGGAGGAAGGGAAUGGCUGGUGGGGGAAAUGCUGGUCUGAAAUGUGUAGGGCAAUCCUGGAGAUCAACAUCAGGGAGCUCUCUAUGUAGAAUUUAGUAUGGAAGCCACAGGAGUGGGGAAGAAAGAACUACCGAAGGAAAAAAAAAGAGGAGUGGUCAGAAAGGUAGGAGAUGAAGCUGGUAGUACGGUGUUCUGGAAGCCGAGGGUACAGUGAGCCUGAAGCACAUGGUAAUAAAAAUUGUCAGAUGCUACAGAUUUCGAGCAUUAGAACGGAGGAAAGGCCACUGGAUCUGACAAACAAGAGACUCAGUGACCUUCUAGAGAACAGUUCUCAGUAGGAUGGUAGGGAGAGAAGCCAAGUUUCAAAAGCUGAAGCCAUGUGAUUAUAAACCACAAGUCCAAGACGUCUGGCAGUGAAAGGAAAGCAGGAGAUAUAAGACUAGAUUAGGGCAGUAACAAAAAUAAGGGAAAGGUUUUGUUUUCUUUUAGGUAUUUAUUUUAAAGAAUGGGCAUCUCUGAGCACUUUUAUAAAUGGAGGAGAGAUGUAGAGGGGGUAAAAGGACUGAAAUCCAGAAGGGAGGUAAAAUUCAGAGCACAGUGAUUUGUGUUGGCAAGCAAGAAAGCCCUAUCUUCCUCAGAAACGAGGAGAGGAAGCUGUGAAAAACAGCUCUAGGGAGGUUUUGGUGGGUGAGACAGAGGUGAUGGAGUGGAGUUCAAACCCUUUCUCCUCCUUGGUGAAUCAAGCACAGAGUCUCCUGCUGAGGGUUGCUCUGGAAACUGGAGGAGAUUCGGGACAAUAGUUAGAGGGAAGCAAAUCAAGAAGAAUGAAAAAAGAAGAGCGACAAGAAACUGCUUUCUCCAAAAAGUCUUGGCAGUCCAUAAUCAGGCCUAGGACGGAAAGAUCAGGCUGAGGCUGUGGAGCCCCCCGCAGAGGUGGACAUAUGCAGCUAAGGGAAAUCGAAGGCGCUCUGCUAAAGGAAAUGGUAACGGAUCCAGCUUACUCAGGGUCUUUGAGGGAUCUGUGCUUUUAAGUAGAAAGUGUUAUAAAAUGGGUGUUCCCCUCAAAAGAAAUGUUAGAAAUGUUCAGUUGUUACAAGAACAUGUUCUCAGACGCGUUGCAGAAAAUGUCAUUUGUAUAAACUGCAACGUAUCUUCCAUUCUCUGUGUAUGAUCAACAUGAUUCCCAAGUGGAAAAAACAUCUUAACAGUAGAAAAUGCAAUGUAACAGGCUAGGUGCGGUGGCUCACUCCUGUAAUCCCAGCAUUUUGGGAGGCCCGGGUAGGUGGAUCACCUGAGGUUAGGAGUUCGAGACCAGCCUGGUCUACAUGGCAAAACCCCAUGUCUACUAAAAAUACAAAAAAUUAGCCAGUCGUGGUGGUGGGUGCCUGUAAUCCCAGCUACUCGGGUGACCGAGGCAAGAGAAUUGCUUGAACCCGGGAGGCAGACGUUGCAGUGAGCCAAGAUCACGCCAUUGCACUCCAGCCUGGGCGACAGAGCAAGACUCUGUCUCAAAAAAAAAAAAAAAGGAAGAAAGAAAGGGAGGGAGGGAGGGAGGAAGGAAGGAAGGAAAGAAAGGAAAUAAACGUAUUUAAUAAUGUUGCCUAAUCUGUAUGCAUGCAGUACAGGACACAGUUUUGUGGAACAUAGUACCAUCCUGUGACCUUCCUCUAUGUCCACCACAAAUCUGCCUGAAAAAAAAAAUCUCUCCUGAGAGGACCAGAUAUGCUUGUGAAGCAUCAGAGAAAAUACAGCUUGUUUGACAUUUCAAAAUCCUGGUCUGUGCUAGGACUGGUCUCAUCUUGAUGGGUAUAAAUUUGUGCUUAUAGGAACACAGUCACUCUAUAUCCAGACUAAGAAAUUUUUGUAGAUUUUUCAACUAAGUAUCCCUGUAAGCUAGACUUACGGAAUUAGGAAAAAAAAAUGUUGAAGUUGUAUUGAGUCUCUUUUUUUUUUUUUUUUUUUUUUUUUGAGACAGGGUCUCACUCUGUCGUCAAGGCUGUAGUGCAGUGUUGUGAUCAUAGCUCACCGCAGCCUCAACCUCCCAGGCUCAGCCUCCUGGGUAGCUGGGACUAUAGACACGCACCACCACACCUGGCCAAUUUUUUUAUUUUUUAUAGAGUCAGGGUUUCGCCAUGUUAUCCAGGCUGGUCUCAAACUCCUGGGCUCAAGUGAUCCUCCAGUCUCCCAAAGUGUUGGGAUUAUAGGCGUGAGCCACUAAACCCAGCCAGUACUAUGUCUUUUUUUUUUUUUUUUUUUUUUUGAGACGGAGUUUCGCUCUUGUUGCCCAGGCUGGAGUGCAAUGGCACAAUCUCGGCUCACUGCAACCUCCGCCUCCCGGGUUCAAGCGAUUCUCCUCCCUCAGCCUCCCGAGUAGCUGGGAUCACAGGCUGGUAUUACAGGUGUGAGCCACCGCGCCUGGCUGUUGUAUCUUUUUAAGAAGUUUGGAAACAUCAAGUAUCUGAAACAACUUCGCUUGUGAUCUUAUCUGGGGAAGUUUUGUAAGAGGCAAAGCUGUGAGCAGAGAGAGCAUGAACUUUGGAGUCAAACAGCCCUGAGUUGAAAUCCUGCUGUCCUCUCUGAGUGCCAGUGUCCUCAGUGUCCUCAUCUGAAAAAUUCUGGGUGAUAUUUCCCUGGCAGUUACUGAGGGUCCAAAGAGACAAGAGCUGAAAGGCCUGGCAAUACUCUUAAGUGUUUGAUAAAUGUUGGUUUCCUCGCUCUGCAUUUCAUUUAAUCCAGGUAACAUUUACUGAGGAAUGACCCCAUAUCAGGUACUGUGCUGAGAACAGCAAUUCAGAGACAGGUAAGGCUGUAUCUACAACAGGGGCCAACAGUCCAGUGGAGGACAAUCCCUAACUUAGGGUCUCCAUGCCCUGGAGGGGCCCAUGAACUUGGAUGGAAAGAAAAUACAUCUUUAUUUCUUCUAACUUUUAACUGAAAUGCAGUAUUUAUAACAAUUGUCAGUGUAGUCAACAUACUAUGGUAGUAUUAAUACAUCUAUGGCCCUGACACCAGUAGAAAUCAUAGAUUUUUUUAGAUCAUAUUACAUUAUUGAGUAGGUUACUAAAGAAGUACUUCAGGCCAGGCAUGGUGGUUCACGCCUGUAAUCCCAGUACUUUGGGAGGCUGAGACAGGAGGAUCACUUGAGGUCAGGAGUUCAAGACCAGCCUGGCCAGCAUGGUGAAACCCCAUCUCUACUGAAAAUACAAAAAUUAGCCGGGUGUGCUGGCGCAUGCCUGUGAUCUCAGCUACUCAGAAGGCUGAGGCAAGAGAAUCGUUUGAAUCCAGGAGGUGGAGGUUGCAGUGAGUCAAGAUCACGCCACUGCACUCUGGCCUGGGCAACAGAGCGAGACUCCGUCUCAGAAAAAAAAAGUACUUCAAUUGGACUGAGCGUGGUCACUCACGCCUGUACUCCUAGCACUUUGGAAGGCAGAGGCAGGUGGAUCACAUGAGGUCAGGAAUUCGAGACCAGCCUGGCCAACAUGGUGAAACCCAGUCUCUACUAAAAAGUCAAAAAAAAUUAGCUGGAUGUAGUGGUGUGCACCUGUAGUCCUAGCUACAUGGGAGGCUGAGGCAGGAGAAUCACUUGAACCUGGGAGGUGGAGGCUGCAGUGAGCUGAGAUCACGCCACUGCACUCCAGCCUGGGCGACAGAGUGAGACUUUGUCUCAAAAAAAAAAAAUGUCUGGGUACAGUGGCUCAUGCCUGUAAUCCCAGCACUUUGGGAGGCCUAGGCGGGCAGAUCACCUGAGGUCGGGAGCUCAAGACCAGCCUGGCCAACAUGGUGAAACCCCGUCUCUACUAAAAAUACAAAAAUUAGCCGGGUGUGGUGGUGCAUGCCUGUGAUCUCAGCUACUUGGGAGGCUGAGGCAGGAGAAUUGUUUGAACCCGGAAGGUGGAGGUUGCAGUGAGUCGAGAUCACACCACUGUACUCCAGCCUGGGCAACAGAGCAAGAUUCCGUCUCAAAAAAAAGAAAAAAAAAAGUGAGUAAGAAGUACUUCAAUUAAUAUUACAGAUUUUUAAAAACAUUUUAAUAACUAUAUUUCAAUUUAAUUGGCUUCCUUGUAAUCUCAUUUCUGUCAUGCAUUUAAAAAUUAUUCUGAACUGGCUGUGACAGAGAAAAGGUGAAGAAACCCUAGUCAAGUUAGUGGAAAAUUGAAUUUUAUGAAUGUUUCAGGACAGAGAGGCAAAUUCCAUAUCAAAUAAUCAAAUGAGUAAUGUCCCAGCAUAGGACACAGAGGAGACAAGCCAUGCAGUUCCCUUGGAAAACAGAGAUGGGCAGUGACUGUGUUUUGCAGGUGAAUAUGAUUUGCCGAGCAAGGAGGAAGGAGAAAGGCAGACUGGAGACAGUGGGAAAAAUGAGUGACUCACUGAGGGGCAAGACAUGUCUCAAUGAGAACACCUGGAAAGCUGAGAAGCAGGGUUGACAUCUGGUCAACCUCAAAUAUGCUCUAAGUCUAACCCAUGUGAACCACCUCAGAGUGGAUAUUGACCCAGUUUAUAGUUUGUAUAAGCAAAUAUCUUCCCAUUUCAAUGCUGACAGCCGUGUGCAGUGGCUCACACCUGUAAUCCCAGCACUUUGGGAGGCCGAGGCAGAAUGUUUACUUGAGGCCAGGAGUUCGAGACCAGCUUGGCCAACAUGGUGAAACCCCUUCUCUACUAAAAAUACAAAAAGUAGCUGGGCAUGGUGGCAGGCGCCUGUAAUCCCAGCUGCUCUGGAGGCUGAGUCAUGAGAAUCACUUGAACCUGGGAGGCAGAGGUUGCAGGGAACUGGGAUCAUGUCACUGCACUCCAGCCUGGGCGACAGAGCAAGACUCUGUCUCAAAAAUAAAUAUAUACACACACACACACACACACACACACAUAUAUAUAUGUAUGCUUACAAGGUUACACGUCCACCAUCCCAAACACACACACACAUACACACCACACACACAUAUAUACACACACACACCACACAUACCCACACACACAUAUAUAUACACAUACAUAUACAUUACACACCCACACUUAUACACACACAUACCAUACACACAGCCUUUUUUUUUUUUUUUUUUUUUUGAGACGGAGUCUCACUCUGUUACCCAGGCUGGAGUGCAAUGGUGCAAUCUUGGCUCACUGCAACCUCCGCCUCCCAGGUUCAAGCGAUUCUCCUGCCUCAGCCUCCUGAGUAGCUGGGAUUACAGGCACACGCCACCACGCCUGGCUAAUUUUUGUAUUUUUAGCAGAGACAGGGUUUCACCAUAUUGGCCAGGCUGGCCUCAAACUAUUGACCUUGGGAUCCGGCCACCUCUGCCUCCCAAAGUGCUGGGAUUACAGGCGUAAGCCACCGUGCCCGGCUGGCACAGUCUUAUACAAGACAAAAUGUACUAAUCUAGAACCUAAAUCUUCAUUACAUGUUUAAUUAUACAAUACUCGUGGAAUUAAAAAUAUGCUGCCUUUUUGCCAAACACUAAAGUGAUGUUAACGAAAAGUAAUUCCAAAGUAGUGAAGUUAGGAAUGCCACAAUAUUUUUCAUUCCUUUCUUUCCAGUCAUUUCGGAGACCACAAAGUUUAAAAAUAUUUCAAAAUAUUCGAAAGUAUCCAUGACGUCAUUUGAGUAGUUCUUAAAUUCACCAAAGUGAUUCAUGCAAAUGACUUAUUUGCUUCAAAAACUAUCUACAAAUUCAAAUAGUGGACCAAGGAGAAAAAUCUGCACAACAGUUUCAGUGUAACCAAGAUCACAAUAUUCAAUAUUACCUUCAAUAUGGCAGAUUUAUAGUAGACGUAAGUUUAAAAUACACAAGCUAAAAUUUUUAAAGGGGCUAAUCAGAAAGAAAUGUAGUUUUUAUGACAUACAAAAUUAUUCAGUGAUUCCACAUAAGAGGUAAUGCAUGAAUUCUACAAUUCCUUAACUCAUUGGCUGCUGGUAUUCAUUCAUUACUUGGAACUUUAACAGCUUCCUAGUAAACAGAAAGUACCUUUCCUAUAUGUGAGAUAUUUUGACUGAUAUAUCCUGAGUACCCAGAAUGGUGCGUGGCACACACAGUUACUGAAGAAGUAUUUGUUGAAUGAAUUGAUUAACUUUACUUUCUUGAUUUUAUACGUCAGGAUAUUUUCACCCUGACUACUUUUGUCCAAUGACCUAACACAUUUAAACUUUGCUCAAGAAUUUAGAACAGGCUGGGCACAGUGGCUCACACCUGGAACCUCAGCACUUUGAGAGGCCAAGGUGGGAGGAUCGCUUGAGCCCAGGAGUUCGCGACCAGCUGUCUCAAACAUAGGGAGACCCUGUCUCUACCAAAAGUAAUUCAAAAAAUUAGCCAGGUGUGGUGGCACACACCUGUGGUCCCAUCUACGUGGGAGGCUGAGGUGGGAGGUCACCCUGGGAGGUCGAGGUUACAGUGAACCACUCCACCCUGGGCUACAGAGCAAGACCCUGUCUCAAAAAAAAAAAAGAAAAAAAAAAAGGGCCAAGCAGGGCGGCUCACGUCUGUAAUUCCAACAUUUUGGGAGGCCAAGGUGGAGAGGUCAAGGCUGCAGUGAGCUGUGAUCCUGCCACUGCACUCCAGCCUAGGUGACAAUGAGACCCUGUCUCAAAAAAAAAAAGAACUUAGGACAGUUUGAUAUUUCUCUUUGAUUCUUUUUUUCUUUCAGUUUGUAAUUUGCAUAUCUUGCACAGAAUUUUAAACGUUAAAUCUUAUAAAUGAAUGAAGAUGAAAACUGUAUCUAACAUUUACAUUAAUUUUUGCAUUUAACAAUCUUUUUUUUUUUUUUUUGAGAUGGAGUCUCGCUAUGUCACCCAGGCUGGAGUGCGGUGGCACGAUCUCGGCUGACUGCAAGCUCCGCCUCCCGGGUUCAGGCCAUUCUCUUGCCUCAGCCUCCCGAGUAGCUGGGACUACAGGCGCCCACCACCACGCCCGGCUAAUUUUUCGUAUUGUUAGUAGAGGCGGGGUUUCACCAUGUUAGCUAGGAUGGUCUCGAUCUCCUGACCUCGUGAUCCACCCGCCUCGGCCUCCCAAAGUGCUGGGAUUACAGGCGUGAGCCACUGCACCCGGCCAACAAUCUUUUAAGAAAAAACAAGGUAUAUUUUCUGAAAUUUGUCCAGCGUGUGGCAAUCUUCAGAAAACAUUUGUAUUUUUAGGAUAUUUAAAUAUGCAGAUCACUUCACUUCACCAUCAUUAUCUCAUUUUUAUCCUUAUCAGUGUUGUCAGGCAGCUGUUAUUUCCAAAUGAUGGAAGGGACAGAGAAGUUACAGCACUUGUGUUUUAAGAACUGGACCACAAGCACUUCAAGUCCUAACCCAGUGACCCUCCCCCAAGCCUUUCCAUCUGCAUCACUGGGGCCCAAAAGACUCAAAGCUAAUAGAUGUUUUUAUAAAAGAUCUGUGGACUGAAACUAAAUAUUAGUGCCCACUCUAAUUUUAAGAUUGGCUUUUUCAAGAAGCGAUCCUUGCAAAUAGAAUUUACCAGAACAGUUUUUAGGCCUCACCACACUUUUGAAAUAAGAAUCCAUCCCUAGGGUGGGGAAAGUUAGAAAUACCAUAUACACUCAACUUCAAACCAAUUUUUUUUUUCAUGACAGAGUCUCACUGCAUCGCCCAGGCUGGAGUACAGUGGUGCGAUCUCGGCUCAUUGCAACCUCUGCCUCCUGGGCUCAUGCAAUUCUCCUGCCUCAGCCUCCCAAGUAGCUGAGACUAUAGACACACGCCAUGCCUGGCUAAUUUCUGUGUUUUUAGUAGAGACGGGGUUUCACCAUGUUGGCCAGGCUGGUCUCGAACUCCUGACCUCCAGUGAUCCAUCCGCCUCGGCCUCCCCAAGUGCUGGGAUUACAGGCAUGAGCCACUGUGCCCAGCCAACUUCAACCCAAAUUUAAUCAGAUAAACUUCAAAAAAUAAUCUGAUCAUAUGAGCUACUUUCUCAGCCAAACUUUUAGGACAGGGGAUUAGCAUUGGCCUUACAGCACUUUGUUUUAGGAGACUGGCAUGAUUUCUCUUGAAAUGUUAGGGUCAGCAGAUAGGAUGCAGGGCUGUAAUGGGAUAAGGAAGCAAGCAGGUAAGGAGUUGACUGGAGCUGAUGCUCCUGGCAGGGUCGGGGUCAGGGAAAGAAGAUGCUGACAAGAUUGGGGCCCAGUCAGUACUCCAUUCAUCUGCCCCUGGGUUACCGUGAUGCUAGGAGGACCACCACAUAACACACAUCUGGAUGCUCUAGCAAGAUGUCAGAACCCUGCCUUGAGAACCAGCUGAAUUGCAGAACCAUAUCCUCCUCUUUUAUGUUCUUGUGGAAAUGUAAACAAUUUGGCCAGGCGCGGUGGUUCAUGCCUGUAAUCCCAGCACUUUGGGAGGCCAAGGCAAGAGGAUCACUUAAGGCUAGGAGUUCGAGACCAGCCUGGCCAACAUGGUGAAACCCCAUCUCUACUAAAAAUACAAAAAUUAGCCGGGCAUGGUGGCUCAUGCUUGUAGUCCCAGCUACUCAGGAGGCUGAGGCAGGAGAAUCACUUGAACUAGGGAAGCAGAGGUUACAGCGAGCAGAGAUCAUGCCACGGCACGCCAGCCUGGGCAACAGAGAGAGACUCUGUCUCAAAAAAAAAGAAAAAGAAAAAAGAAAAUGUAAACAAUUUACAACUCUGGCAGUAAAACACGAACAGCAGAUGAAGUUUACAGGCAUUGCCUUUAAUCCUAUUCAUGAUGAACAUAUUUUCUAAAAACAAGUCAUAGGCAAAAUAACCACUGUCCCCCAUUUUUUGAGGUAGUUGUUACACUUGCAUGUCAGUCAGGGUUCCAGGCAGAAAUAAAUAGCAUACUCCAGUGGGAAAAUUAAGAUUAUUUUACAAGGUAUUGGGCAAGGUUGAAGAAAACCAGCAAGGAUGGUGAAAUAGCCCUGACUGGCAAUGACAGGGUGCCAUUACCAAAUCCUGCAGAGAGAGACGUUGGUGCUGGGGAGGGCCACCUGGCAGGAGCAGUGGCCUUCCUAGAGAAGCACAGCAGGGAGCAAGCCAGGGUCAAUAUUCUGACGCCUUUCUCCUCUCUCCAGUCUCUGCCAGGGCCUCUCAUUGGCCAAACUAAACUGAUGACCUUAGGGCUCAGAAGCCUUUGAUGCAGUCCUGGCUGGUCUAUCUGUCUCAAGGGGCACAUGGCAGGGGGAGAAUGGAUCUGGAAGGACAAAUGGAGGCUCUCCAGCCAAUAAAAACUAUAGCAGAGCAAAUUUAAAGGAAUAGAUGUUUCCAGAGCUUUACUUGGAGGACACAGCUACUGACAUUUUGAAUCCCUUCUCCUAAGCAAAGAAUAUUCUAUCCAAAGACAAUGUAUUUUAAGAACAUCAUGAUUUUUUCUUCUACUACAGCAUGGUCUUAUGCCAUAAAAGGAAUUAUGCUAAUCCAGUCUAUCAGUGAAACUCAGAAAAGAUGGCUAUCAGAGGUGGCACAGAAACAUUUCAGGGAAAUAAUGGAGAGGCACCAAGAAAUGGCUUUCUAAAGCAGCAGGAAAAAAGUUGAAGUCCAUAAGCAGAUAGGUUACCAAUCCAGCAGCAUCUCUUAGGAAUGAAAUGAUUGAUCACAAAGGUAAGAUUUGUUGGAGCCCACAUUGAAUUUAAUGCCAGUCAUCCUUGUAUACUAAACUCUAUUUCCAUAGCUGGGAGAUAUGACAGACUUUCUUUUUGUGACACUUUGUUCUUAUGAUAUAGUUUUGAGUCUGUCUGUGGGAUUUCAAUCACCGAAAUCAGGAUUAGAGACAAGAAAUCUUCCUUAUAUUAUUAAGUAGGAAAGCAAUGUGUUAAGGAGCCAGCCCUAACUUGGAGAUAAAUCUAUUUUAAUAAAGCACAGACAUUCGUGAAUAAGAUGUGUCUUUGUGUUUAUCAUAAUAUCCCUGAAAACUUCUCUGAUCAUAAGGGAAAACCUCCCACCAAUAGAAUAUUAGCAGUUCAAUCACUAGGCCACCAUGCACAAAGGUUAACUCACAUUGUAGUGCCCCACAGUCGAUGGAACUGAAGUGUGAUGUUUUUCUUGUAUUACUGUGCUGUCAGACAAUGCCUGUCACAUUAGAAAAAAAAAAAUCUUCAAGAGAAAGACAUAAAAGAGCUAAGAAAAUAGACCUCUUUUUUUUUUUAAACAUUAGCUUUCCAUCAGAAAGCCACUUAUACUGUAUAACAACUGCCUGAACAGAUACUGUAUUGCAGCAUGGGUCAACAAGAGAGAGGAGCUCUCUUUGUUGAUUAUUUUCAACAGAAAAAUAUGUAAGAUGUCCAUUUAGAAGUGCUUUCUCUAGAGUGCAGAGCUGAAACGAAUACUAUUGCAAUCAACCUGCUAUUAUUCCUGUCUCAAAUGUAUGUUUUUAAAAAUUCUUUUGUCCUAUAAAGCACAAAGCUUUGUACAACUACGGUGAAAUCCUUGAGUCAUUUGACUGCUUCCCUAUGCAAUUCAAGAGCAGGUGAAAGGUAGACUAUGGAAGUAACAUACACAAAAAUAAUGAAGGCGACAAAACCUAAAUUAGUUCCUCACUGGAGUUUUUUUGUCUGAUUUUUAGAAAGAAUGAGAAUAUUUUAAAAUGGAACUUCUCAAGGACCUAGGAAUUAGGUAUCGAUUUAUUUUCCUGAAUUUACAGCCUCCAUAAACUUAAAAAGGAAAUGAGUGACCAUGGCAAAAACUGUUAUAAACUCUUCCCAACAUCCAUUCCCCUUUCCCUCUUUAGUAACAGAACAUCAGUUUCUAACAAAGUUGUUGCCCAGCUAAAUGCUUUUACUGUAUUUCCAAUUCUCUACUACAGCAAGGUGUGGCCAUGGCUGUGCCUUAGUUUUGCUCCAUAAUGUGUUUAUGAUAUAUACAAGUGAAAGUGUGGUUGUGAGGGAUUUUGUGAAAGUUUUCCGACGGGCACGGUGGCUCACGCCUGUAAUCCCAGCACUUUGGGAGGCUGAGAUGGGUGGAUCACCUGAGGUCGGGAGUUCGAGACCAGCCUGACUAACGUGGUGAAACCCUGUCUCUACUCAAAAUACAAAAAAAUAGCUGGGUGUGAUGGCAGGCACCUGUAGUCCCAGCUACUCGGGAGGCUGAGGCAGGAGAAUUGCUUGAACCCAGGAGGUGGAGGUUGCAGUGAGCCGACAUCAUGCCAUUGUACUCCAGCCCGGGCGACAAGAGUGAAACUGUAAUCCCAGCACUUUGAGAGUCCAAGGCGGGUGGAUCACGAGGUCAAGAGAUCGAGACCAUCCUGGCUAACACGGUGUAACCUGUCUCUACUAAAAAUACAAAAAAUUAGCCGGGCGUGGUGGCAGGUGCCUGUAGUCCCAGCUACUCAGGAGGCUGAGGCAGGAGAAUGGCGUGAACCCGGUAGGCGGAGCUAGCAGUGAGCCGAGAUCGCACCACUGCUGACAGAGCGAGACUCAGUCUCAAAAAAAAGAAAGAAAGAAAGUUUUCCUUAAAAGGCAGGAAAUAGGCCAUCCUACCCACCUCCACCUCCCUCCCUGGAGUAUGGAUGUGACAGCUGGAACUCCUAUGGCUAUCCUGAACCCUGAAGUGAUUUUGAGGCUGGUGGAGCAGAAGCCUGAAAGCCUGGAGCCCUGAUGAUUCCCUGGAGCCAUUGGAGGCCAUCCUUGGACUGCCUGUCCCCUGACAUUUGUACAUGAGAAAGAUACAUCCAUCCUAUUAUUUGAGGAUUUCUUUCUUUCCUUUUUUUUUUUUUUUUUUUUUUGGAGACACAGUCUCGCUCUGUCACCCAGCCUGGUCUCUGCAGCCUGGACCUCCUGGGCUCAAGCAACCCUCCAGCCCCAGCCUCCUGAGUAGCUGGGACUAGGCACAUACCACCAUGCCCAGCUAAUUUUGUAUUUUUUGUAGACCAGCCAUGUUACCCAGGCUGGUCUUGAACUCCUGGGCUCAAGUGAUCCUCCCAAAGUGAGCUCAAGGUGGGCUCCUGGGCUCAAGCUAGCCUUCCAAAGUGCUAGGAUUACAGGUGUGAGCCACCACACCUGGCCAGGAUUUUCUUUUUCAAUUAGCCUGAUAAAAUCACACUACACUCCUGAUGUGGAGGAAUUGCUCUUUUUCUUCAUCCUGCAGCUUUAUGGUUUUAUUUAUUUUAUUUAUUUUUAUUUUUUGAGACCAAGUCUUGCUCUGUGGUCCAGGCUGGAGUGCAGUAGUGCAAUCUCGGCUCACUGCAAUCUCUGCCUCCUGGGUUCAAGCGAUUCUCCUGUGUCAGCCUCCCGAGUAGCUGGGACUACAGGCAUGCACCACCACACACAGCUAAUUUUUGUAUUUUUAGUAGAGAUGGGGUUUCGCCAUGUUGGCCAGGCUGGUCUUGAACUCCUGACCUCAGAUGAUCCGCCCACCUUGGCCUCCCAAAGUGCUAGGAUUACAGGCGUGAGCCACCACGCCUGGCCAGUUUUAUUAUGUAUUUAUUUAUUUUUCUUUUGUAUGUUCAUUUUUUCUUUGAUAUAGGGUCUCUCUCUGUUGCCCAGGCUGGAGUGCAGUGGCGUGAUCUUGGCUCACUGCAGCCUUGACCUCCCAGGCUCAAGGGAUCCUCCCACCUCAACAUCCAGGUAGCUGAGACUACAGACAUGCCGCCACCAGACCACCAGGCUAAUUUUUGUGUUUUUUGUAGAGACGGGGUCUCGCCAUGUUGGCCAGGCUGGUCUCGAACUCCAGGGCUCAAGUGAUCUGCCCCUCUUAACCUCCCAAAAUGCUGGGAUUACAGAUGUGAGCCACUGCACCCGGCCAAGAAGGACUGUUAAAACAAACCUGACUACACCCUCUGACUUGACUGUACCUAGACUGUGACCACUGCAGUGGUGAAGACAUCUGGGUUCUUAAGUUUCUUAGCCCAAGGUCAGUUUCCCAGUGCAGAGGCCCAGUGGCCACGGGGCUGCCUGGCCGCAGGGCGGCUUCACGGGCUGCACACUUAGGAGCCUGCACACUUCGGGUUUGAUGCUCUGCAGCUGCUGUCUUGAAUGUAUUAAUAAUGUUAUCUUGGAAUUUGUGUUCUGUGAGCGAAGUCCAGUGGGGUGAUGGCGCGUGCGGUGGGAACCGGCACCUAGGUUCACCCAUGGUCUUGCUCCCAUGGCCUUCCCACCUCCCCAGGAUAUGUUCCCAUCCCUCUGUUACCGCCCAGUCACCACUGCUGUCCCCCUCCAUGGAUGGAGUCCUGAGCACAGGCAUGAGGAGGCUCCAGGUGGGUCAUGUACUCUGUGUACCGAGUCACCAAGCAAGAACCCAGGCGAGUAGGAGGUUUUGUGUUCACCCACGAAUAUCUUCAUUCCCAAGAGAACAUGACAUUAAAUAGCAAAUUAAAAACACCAUAAUUGGUGGAGAAAGAGACCGCAGGUGAAGGAAGGAAAAAGCUUUUUUCCAGCUUUUGAAUGAGGAGCCCCAUAUUUUCAUGUUGCCCUGACCCCUGCAAAUUACACAGCUGGCCUUGCCUUGCACAGAAAUGGAAAGGACCAAGGAACAGAGGCCAGGACCUGUGCCCAGUUCCACCUAGCUUUGCUGUAGGAGCAGGGCGGGCCUCCUGGGUGUGCUAGAGGCGCCGCCCUCCCCAGCCUCGCCGAUGCUCCAGCAGCUGAUGCUGGAAAUACAGGAAACUCAGCCAAGAAGCCUUUUCUAGUCCCAGUCAGGGAGUCAGUGGCACCUCCCACACCUGUGCCUCAGGGUCGCCUUGAUGCUUUUUUGAGCCAGGCUGCGUCCAGCUGUAAAUGCUUGGAGGCGGUGCGUGCUGGUAAAUGUUUAACAACUAGCUCUCUGGGGACAGGAGCCCUCAUUUGUAGCAUUUGCUGGUUGCCAUGGUGUAAAUAUUCCCACCAGGGCCAAUUUUUGAGCUACCAAUAUUUGAUAAUCUUGAAAAUUUAGCAAAAGUCUGGCCGGGCGCAGUGGCUCACGCCUGUAAUCCCAGCACUUUGGGAGGCUGAGGCAGGCAGAUUGCCUGAGGUCAGGAGUUUGAUUCGAGACCAAUCUGGCCAACAUGGUGAAACCCCAUCUCUACUAAAAAUACAAAAAAAAAAUUUAGCCGGGUUUGGUGGCGUGCGCCUGUAAUCUCAGCUACUCGGGAGGCUGAGGCAGGGAAAUAGCUUGAACCAGGGAGGUGGAGGUUGCAGUGAGCCGAGAUCACACCACUGCACUUCAGCCUGGGUGACAGAGCAAGAUUCCAUCUCAAAAAAAAAAAAAAAAGUCUUGAAAACUUAACAAUUGGCUUGGCUUUCACAAGCUAAUGCAAGUAGGGUAUUGCACACUACUGCUUGGAGGAACAAGGAAAGAGAACUCAUUGUGAUUUCAUCUAAAAUCUAGGAGAACAUGAACAGGGAAUUUACAGAAGAAAACCUGAAGAACCAGCAAAUAUGCAUCGGUGCUCAAACUCACCGGUGAUUAGGAUAAUGCAGAUGAAACACUAAGAAGAUACACCACUUUUUAAAAAUCAGGUGGAUAGCAAGGUUAAAUCUCAAGUUCCGGUGAGAUGCAUGACUUGGGAAUGUAAAUCUGUGCAGACACUUUGGAGAGCAAUUUGAUAGUAUCCAAUACAAUGUAGGAUGUAUGUAAGCCCCAAAGUUCCUCCUGGAGUUUAGGGACAUUCCUGCACGUGCUCAAGGAUGUUCUCUGAACUAUUCUUUUUUUGUUUUGUUUUGCUGUUUUGUUUUGUUUUUGAGACAGAGUUUUGCUCUGUCGCCCAGGCUGGAGUGCAGUGGUGCGAUCUCAGCUCACUGCAACCUCCGCCUCCUGGGUUCAAGCGAUUCUUCUGCCUCAGGCUCCCGAGUAGCUGGAAUUACAGGUGCACACCACCACACCUGGGUAAUUUUUGUUUUUUUUUAAUUUUUUGUAUUUUUCGUAGCGAUGGGGUGUCUCCAUGUUGGCCAGGCUGGUCUCGAACUCCUGACCUCAAGUGAUCCACCCACCUCAGCCUCCCAAAGUGCUGAGAUUACAGGCAUGAGCCACUGCGCCCAGCCCCAAAGUAUUCUAAUCAUAGCGAACUCCUGGUGCCAUCUCUUAGUCUCAACAAUGAUCAACUUGUGGCCAGCCCGGCUUCAGUUUUCUCUCCAUCUGCUUCUCCACCUUCCCAAAUUAUUUUGAGGUAAAUCUCAGACAUCCUAUCAUUUUGUCUGUAAAUAUAUUUCUAUCUCUGAAAGUAAAAAACAAACAAAAAGCCUGUGGUAGGCUUUUCGUUCAAUAUGAGAGAGAGAAACCCCAGCAGGGUUAUCAGGGAAGGGCAGAUAAAGAGGGGAAUUUUUACAAAGGUACUUUUACAGGAGCUAUGAAGUUUGGUUAGUCUAACAAUAACAUUUCCAGUGCAUUCCCUGAGGAAACUGUCCCUGUCCCCUCCCAGACACAGCAGGCUACAGGGGCAGCCUUCUGUUGCUUGGCGGAUUUUGAGGUCAAACAGAAUCUGUGCUAGGUAAUCAGCUUAGUGGAUAAAAAACCAAGAACUUACAUCUGCAGAGUACUUACAAACUCUCAGUGUAGGGGGUUGAUUCGUGUCUGUAUAAUGUUCCCUUGAAUAUUGUACUUCGUUGUCACUAUUUGAGAAUAUGUGCCUGAUUAGUAAUACCCAGUACAUAAAAAUACCAAAUAUAUAACUAACCACAUGAGCAGGCUUUAAAAUGAUGGUGACUUUAAUUGCUAAAUUCACUCCCAGUUCUAAAAUGUGGUUUGCAUGUAAUAUUUCAUCCAGAAAAAAAGGUUGCUAAUAGCAAUGUCAUUACAGAUUGUUUGUCAACCUUAAUCAAAAUAAUUUCCCUUUCCAAAUUGCUGCUUUAGUCUGUGCUUUGUGAAAGGAGUUUUAGAAUUUUGUUUUAAUCUGAAAAUCAAUCAGCUAGAGAGGUGAAAAAGUGGAAAAGGAAAAACAUGAGACAUGUCUGUAUUUUAAGAGAUUCUGUAGCAAAAGCUUCGUACACCAUACUCUAUGGUUUCCAAUUGAGUGCUAGAAAACUUCCAGAAUACAACAGAGAAAUUAUCCCUACAUGGAAUAUGGUUUCAUAAUUCCAACACACGAUACAUAAUUCCCCCACAUUGUUUCCUUAGUUUCAUUCAGUAAAAAUCAUUACUGUAUCUUUAGAUAAUAAGCAGUGAGUAGCCAGCUGAGUAGGAGAAGAUACUGGUGUGAAAGAACUGUGAUGUCUUGGGAAAAAAUUCCUGGGCUGGGCACAUUGGCUCACGCCUGUAAUCCCAGCACUUUAAGAGAUUCUCCCCCAAGCUGGGCAGAUCACCUGAGGUCAGGAGUUCAAGACCAGCCUGACCAACAUGGUGAAAACCCAUUUCUACAAAAAAUACAAAAAUUAGCCAGACGUGGUGGCACAUGCCUGUAAUCCCAGCUACUUAGGAGGCUGAGGCAGGAGAAUCGCUCAAACCCAGUGAGCCAAGAUUGUGCCACUGCACUCCAGCCUGGGCGAUAAAGCGAGACUCUAUCUGAAAAAAGAAAAAAAAAAGCCGGGCAUGGUGGCUCAAGCCUGUAAUCCCAGCACUUUGGGAGGCCAAGGCAGGUGGAUCACGAGGUCAGGAGAUCAAGACCAUCCUGGCUAACAUGGUGAAACCCCGUCUCUACUAAAAAUACAAAAAAUUAGCCAGGCGUGGUGGUGGGCGCCUGUAGUCCCAGCUACUUGGGAGGCUGAGGCAGGAGAAUGGCGCGAACUCGGGAGGCAGAGCUUGUAGUGAGCCGAGAUCACGCCACUGCACUCCAGCCUGGGAAACAGAGCAAGACUCUGUCUCAAAAAAAAAAAAAAAUUCUGGAGCACAAAGGAUCUGGUUCAUUUUUCGGUCAUGGGAAGUCAGCCUCUUGCCCUACCGCUGGUGCUACUAUCAGAGUGAAUCUUCAUCUGGAGCAAUGGCUAAAUUUAAAUAUAGUUACUGGAAUGGAACAUUGCUAGAUGAUGGAUGUCAGCUACUCUGAAAGCAGAAAAGACAGGGCUGUGGCCUCCACAUCCACAGAGCAGGAGGCAUUGUCCUCUGGACCCCCCUAAUUAUGCCUCUGUCCCUGAAGCAACAUGACAACUUUCCUCUCCAUACCCUGCAAUUCCUGUCCCACUUUCAUAAGCUCCAGAACAUUCUCUUUAUUGAUUACUUUUAUGUAUUAUAAAGACAGUUGGUUUAUUUUGAAAUUUUAUGCUGGGGAUGGGGAGUGGAGAGGCUCCUAAUGGGGUGCCCCUGCCUCUCCACUGUUUCUGCCUCGGCAGCAGGACAGCGUGGUGGCUCCAGGGUCACCUGUAUAACACCAGCUGUGGUAUUGAGCCAGACAUUGCCUCAGGUGGCCUCUGUUUACUCAUCCGUAAAAUGGGGAUAAUAAUACACUCACCUCAUAGGGUUGUUGUGAAGACUAAACGAGAACGUGUGUGCCCCAACCUCAGCAGCGUGAUGGAGAAAGGGGACCACAGGGCCGAGCCUCAGAGAAUCUCCUUCAGGGCCUCCUCAGCCCAAACUGCUUCCAGCUCCUUCUCUGCACAUGGGCCGGCCAGCCACUUCUCUCUAGGCCUCUUUUGUUUUUUUUAAAGGUGGGAGGGGUAGAUGAGAUCAUGAAUAAAUUCCCUUCCAGGCAUAAAGUUCUAUCAACUCCUUUUGAAAUGACUGACUCAGUGCAAAAUAUGCACAAUUCUAUAGUAUAUGACGCCGUGACCAAAUCACAGAGCUUCUCUUUCCAUAGAUUAAGCGUACAUGUGGGGCCUGGCACGGUGGCUCAUGCCUGUAAUUCCAGCACUUUGGGAGGCCAAGGCAGAUGGAUCAAUUGAGCCCAGAAAUUCGAGACCAGCCUGGGCAACACGACAAAACUCCUACAAAAAAUACAAAAUUAACCUGGUGUGGUAGUGCAUGUCUGUAGUUCCAGCUCCUCGGGAGGCUGAGGUGGGAGGAUCACAGGAGCCUACGAGGUUGAGGCUGCAGUAGGCAGUGAUGGCACCACUGCACUCCAACUGUGGUGACAGAAUGAGACCCUGUCUCAAAAUAAAAACGAAAACCCUCCAUGUGAGAAACUUGUGUAGGGCUCUAAGGCAGAUAAACCCAGAGGGAGCUGAUGGAUCCCCUGAUGAACAACGAAGUUUGUGUUUAUGAGCCCAGAGGAAUUGCCCUUUUACCCCAGUGAUAAAGGAUUUUUUUUUUCGGGACGGAGUCUCACUCUGUCGCCCAGGCUGGAGUGCGGUGGCACGAUCUCGGCUCACUGCAAGCUCCGCCUCCUGGGUUCACACCAUUCUCCUGCCUCAGCCUCCCGAGUAGAUGGGACUACAGGUGUCCACCACCUCGCCCGGCUAAUUUUUUUGUAUUUUUUUUAGUAGAGACGGGGUUUCACCGUGUUAGCCAGGGUGGUCUCAAUCUCCUGACCUCGUGAUCCACCCACCUCAGCCUCCCAAAGUGCUGGGAUUACAGGCGUGAGCCACCGCACCCGGCCUUUUUUUCGUUUUUUUUUUUUUUUUUUUUUUUUGAGAGAGAACAGUCUCGCUCUGUCGCCCAGGCUGGAGUGCAGUGGCACGAUCUCGGCUCACUUUAACCUGUGCCUGCUGGGUUCAAGCAAUUCUCCUGCCUCAGCCUUCUGAGUAGCUGGGAUUAAAAGCAUGUGCCACUAUGCCUGGCUAAAUUUUUUUUUUUUUUUUUGUAUUUUUAGUAGAGUCUGUUGGUCAGGCUGGUCUUGAACUCCUGACCUCAAAUGAUCUCUUUGUGUGUGUGUGUUUAUGUGUAUGUGUGUGGAAUGGAUGACCCUCCCUAAGGGCAUAAAGUGGGUACACCCACAUGUACAUUGACCUUGAUUUGUAUCACAUUUGACUGCUUGCAAAGCAUUUUCACCACCAUUAUCUCCCAAUUUAAUGAACUAAGCCAGAUUCUAGCAAUUUCACAAGAUCCGCUUCCUCCUGAGUAAAGCCUUUUCCAGAAAUGUCAACAGUUCUGGAGAAUGUGAGUAUCUUUGGGUCAUCAAAGUUGAGGCACCUUAACUGGGGAUCCCACCAAAAGAUUAUAGUGGCCACUUUUGAGAACACAUUUUUUCACUUACAUUGUUGAAUCAUAUGUGUGAGUGUGUUUGUGUAAGAGGCAUAUGUCAUGGAGUUUAAGAUGUACAUUUUUUCACGUUUAAUGUAUUUGAAUUUGGGAUGCAUCUCACAAUACAGUCUUAGCUUUCUGCCUUAAACCUGCACACUGACUGGGUUGAUAGUGUCACCUGGAACUUCAGAGUGUGACCUUAUUUGGAGAUAGAGUCUUUAUAGGUGCAAUCAUAAGAUGAGCUCAUACUGUUUUAGGGUGAGCCCUAAAUCCAGCAUGACCAGAUUCCUUAUAAGGAGAGGAAAGGACACAAAGAAGACACAGGGAAGAAGGCCAGGUGACAACGGAGGUAGAGUUUGGAGUGAUGUGUCUACAAGCCAAGGAACAGCAAGGAUUACUGGCAAACACCAAAAGCUUGGAAGAGGCAAAGAGGGCUCCCUUCCUAGAGCCUCUGGAGGAGGCACAGCCCUGCUAACACCUUGCCUGCUGAUUUUUAGCCACCAGAAAUGUGAGAGUGGCCGGGUAUGGUGGCUCAUACCUGUAAUCCCAGCACCUUGGGAGGCCGAGGCAGGAGGAUAACUUGGGCUCAGGGGUUUGAGACCAGCCUGGGCAACAUAGUGAGAUCUGGUCUCUACUAAGAAAAAAAAAUUAGUUGGGCAUGAUGGUAUGCACCUCUAGUCUUAGCUAUUCGGGAGGCUGAGAUAGGAGGAUCACUCGAGCCUGGGAGGUCGAGGCUGCAGGGAGCUGUGAUUGCACCACUGCACUCCAGCCUGAGUGACAGAGCAAGAGCUUGCCUCAAAACAAAACAAAACAAAACAAACAAACAAACAAAAAAACCCAGAAAUGUGAGAGUUCAGUUUCUUUCUAUUGAUUUCAGCCCUUCGUGUAUGGGAGUUUGUUACAGCAGUCCUGGCAAAUGAGUACACCCUGCAAAGAGUGUGCAUGUACCUGUGCGUACACACACACACACACACACACUCUCACACAGGCACAUAUAGGUUUGUUUCUUUCUCCUUACUCACAAAAGAAGGAGGAAGGGAGCUGACGUCCCCUGAGCUGCCGAUGCAUGCCGAGCUGGCUACCCUCACAGAGGCCAGCUCACAGAAUUCCUGCCGCUCCUGGCAGUCAGCACCCAUUGACAGAUAAGGAGUCUGACCACAGAGAGACUAAGCUGGGCCUGACUACAGGUCCCAUGGGCUUCAGAGGUGGCAUCGCCAUUAGAUUCUGGCAAGGAAAAAAAUCAUUUUUUUUUAAAGACGCAUGUUAGGUAACCAUGAUAUCAGUCUUCUGGGCAUAAGAGAAAUGGUGAGCAUCGUACAAAGUUCUUACAUUCAAUUUGUUGAGUGCCCUGAAUUUGUCUUUAAAGGAUACAUUUUUGCCACCCUUACCCCAGCAGUCUAAGAGUCAGAGAGCCUAGGCAGCCAUGGCAAAGGGAAUAAACCAUCCUCGGAGCUGAGCUUCAUCCUGGGACAAGCUCCAGAGUCCUGUGUCCCCACGUCUCUCCUCCCUACAAAAUCCCAGGAGCUCUGGGUUCUCCUGAAGCCAUUCCCUCCUCUCAGCCAGGGCACUCCCGUAGUCCUGCCCUGGGUGUGUUACGGUGCAGGGAAUGCAAUAUGGUACUAUUUGCAUGUGUUUUUUUUCUUUCUUUCUUUCUUUUUUUUUUUUUUUUAGAUGGAGUGUCGCUCUGUCACCCAGGCUAGAAUGCAGUAGAGCUAUCACAGCUCACUGCAACCUCCGCCUCCUGGGUUCAAGCAAUUCUCCUGCCUCAGCUGAGUAGCUGGGACUACAGGCACACACCACCAUGCCCGGCUAAUUUUUUUGUAUUUCUAGUAGAGACAGGGUUUCAACACAUUGGUCAGGCUGGUCUCGAACUCCUGACCUCAGGCGAUCCACCCGCUUCGGCCUCCCAAAGUGUUGGGAUUACAGGUGUGAGCCACUGCGCCUGGUCAAUGUGGUUCCUUUUCAAGGAAGGAAGGGAGGGAGGGAAGCAUAAAGGGAGAGAUGGGCCAGGGCAGUGGCUGACACCUGUACUCCCAGCACUUUGGGAGGCCGAGGUGGGCAGAUCACCUGAGGUCAGGAGUUUGAGACCAGCCUGGCCAACAUAGCAAAACCCCAUCUCUACUGAAAAUACAAAAAAAAAAAAAAAAAAUUAGCCAGGCAUGUUGGUGUGGCACGCCUGUAGUUCCAGCUACUUGGGGGACUGAGGCUCAAGAAUUGCUUAAACCCAGGAGGCAGAGGUUGCAGUGAGCUGAGAUCGUGCCACUGCACUCCAGCCUGAGCAUUACAGCGACACUCCAUCUCAAAAAAAAAAAAAAAAAAAAAGGUCGGGUGCGGUGGCUUGCACCUGUAAUCCCAGCACUUUGGGAGGCCGAGGCAAGUGGAUCACUUGAGGUCAGGAGUUUGAGACCAGCCUGGUCAACAUGGUGAAACCCAGUCUCUACUAAAAAAACAAAAAUUAGUCAGGCAUAGUGAUGCACUGCUGUAAUUCCAGCUACUUGGGAGGCUGAGGCAGGAGAAUCGCUUGAAGCCGGGAGGAGGAGGUUGCAGUGUGCCACUGCACUCCAACCUGGGUGACAGAGCAAGACUCUGUCUCAAAAAAAAAAAAAAAGCAGGUUGCGGGGGAUGGGCAGGGAGAGGGAGAGGGAAGAAAAGGGAGUAAGCAAGGAAAGUGGGCUUAGCACAGGGCCUGGAACCUAGCAGAUGCUGCUCAGUGUCUGCCACUCUACUCCCUGCAGGAAACAGGGCUGCAUUUUUGCGCUUACAGAAAAGUCUUUCCCUUUACACCCAGGCAUGAGAGGCCCUUUCCAUGAGCCUUAUACGUGACAAACAUACACAUGAAACACAUGUAUUGAGGAGCACCGGGGUGUUUUGGCCCCGUGGGAUCCUGUACUCAGCAUUGGCCCAGCACAAGUCAGCACUGUAAACACCACCAGCCAGGACUAGGAUGUGUCAGGCCUGGAGAGAUGCUUCUCCGCAAGGCCUGGCCCCUGACCUUGAACAGAAGGUGACCUUGUCUGGUCAUCCUGGAGAUUUGUGGGUUGUGGUGCUCCCAGCAUUGGAGUCAGGCACUGCUUCAGAGAGCAGAGACGAUUUAGCCAAGGGAAGACCUUAGGCCAGAGAAAGACAGGUUGUUCAAUUUGUCAAAUCGUCAAAUAGCAUAAAUACAACCGAUUCUUACUCAUGGAAAUAUUAUUUCCCAGUAGUCCUGGGUCCCUGCAUUUCUUCUCCUCAUGUUUGAAUUUGGGCUUGGGAGGCAUUCACAGAUUAGUGUACAUUUCACAACAGUUGCAUAUGGUCACCAAGGAACAUUGUAUAAUAUUACACAGUUCAUAUUCUUCUUCUUCUUUUUUUUUUUUUUUUUUUGAGACAGAGUCUUGCUCUGUCGCCCAGGCUGGAGUGCAGUGGCACAAUCUCGGCUCACUGCAACCUCCGGGUUCAAGCAAUUCUCCUGCUUCAGCCACCCGAGUAGCUGGGACUACAGGUGCACACCACCAUGCCUGGUUAAUUUUGGUAUUUUUAGUAGAGAUGUGGUUUCACCAUGUUGGCCAGGCUGGUCUUGAAUUUCUGCUCUCAGGUGAUCCACCCGCCUUGGCUUCCCAAAGUGCUGGGAUUACAGGCAUGAGCCACUUCGCAUAUUAUUCUUAAACGUGUCUAUGUAGGGCCCAGAUAUAAUAUGUGUGAAGCAUAAUACCAGCUAUUUAUGUUACUCUGUGCCUCUAGCUAUUGCUUUAAGAGAUGAGAAAGAUUGCCACUAUAACUGAUAGCAAUUUACAUGAUAAAAAUUAAAUUUGUUACAUAUUUUCUGCCAUGAAGAUAAUUUGUCACAUGUGAAGGGGCCAAGGGAGAGCUUUCCCCUUGGUGCUCUAAAGGUUUGCUAAAAAAAAAAAAAAAAAAUCAGCUCACAAAAGGCAGAUGAAUAGGAGAAAAAGGGCCAAGUGCAGUGACUCAUCCCUGUAAUCCCAGCACUUUGGGAGGCCAAGGUGGGAGAAUUGCUUGAGCUCAGGAAUUCAAGACCAGCCUGGGCAACAUAGCAAGAUCCCGUCUCUACCAAAAAAAAAAAAAAAAAAAUGGCCGGGCGCGGUGGCUCACGCCUGUAAUCCCAGCACUUUGGGAGGCCAAGGCGGGCGGAUCACAAGAUCAGGAGAUCGAGACCAUCCUGGCUAACAUGGUGAAACCCUGUCUCUACUAAAAAUACAAAAAAUUAGCCAGGCGUGGUGGUGGGCGCCUGUAGUCCCAGCUACUCGGGAGGCUGAGGCAGGAGAAUGGUGUGAACCUGGGACGCAGAGUUUGCAGUGAGCCGAGAUCACACCACUGCACUCCAGCCUGGGUGACAGAGCGAGACUCCAUCUCAAAAAAUAAAUAAAUUAAUUAACCAGGCAAGGCACAUGCCUGUGGUCUCAGGUAUUCGAGAAGCUGAGGUGGGACCAAGAGGCGAAGGCUGCAGUGAGUCAUGGUUACACCACUGCACUCCAGCCUGGGUGACAGAGCAAGAUCCUGUCUCAAAAUAAUAAUAAUAACAGUGAUAUUUUACUGACAAUUCCAGUUGCUAUUGCUUCAAUAGAGCAAAAUUUUGUUUUUCCAAAUUGAAAUUAAUAAUACUAAGAACUACAGUGACUCAAGAAAAGUUGCCUAACUUAGCAUUACUAUUAAUUCAACACAAGUUAUAUGAAAAUUUUGCUUACAACAACAUAGUGACUUUGCUGAAAUACAGGAAAGAAAAAUGUUUUAAUUUAAAUUAGAAUAUAUAUAUUCUAAAUAUAUAAUAAAUAUAUAUAAUAUAUAAAUAUAUAAUGUAUUAAUAAUUAUUUUAUUUAUUAUUUAUUAUUUAUUAUUAUAAAUAUUAUUAAAUAAUUAUUGAUUAUUGAUUAUUAAUUAAUCAUUAAUCAAUAAUAAUUUGAAACAUUUAGACACAUGCACCUGAGCCUCCAUUUCCACUCCUGGGCCCUGGGCCCUGCAAUGGUGGGGCAGGCCUGUUCUCUGGGCCUCCACUCUCUUUUACUUAUUUAUUUAUUUAGAGACAGUGUCUCACUCUGUCACCUAGGCUGAAGUGCAGUGGCGUGAUCACAGCUCACUGCAGUCUCAACCUCCUGGGCCCAAGCAAUCCUCCCACCUCAGGACCCCACUCAACCCCCCAGGUAGUUGGGACCACAGCUACUCACCACCACAACCAGCUAAGUUUUGUAUUUUUUGUAGAGAUGGGGUUUUGCCAUGUUGCCCAGGCUGGUCUCAAACUCCUGGGCUCAAAACAAUCCACAGGCCUCAGCCUCCCAAAGUGCUGGGAUUACAAGUGUGAGCCACCACGCCCAGCCUGGACCUCCACUUUCAAUGGGCAGCUCCAUUUAAAUCACAAAAGUUCUGAUGGCAGCUCCAGGUGAGGUACCCCUUUGGUGGUGAUUGAGGAGAACCUUGGAGAAGGGUCCACUGAGCUGGCACUCUGGGUAGAAUUCACUCCUCAGCGGGAUGCGUUUCUUCUGCUAGUCCCUCCCUUCCUCUGCGUCUUCAUACAAGGCAUUCCAAGGCCCUAGUUACUGGCCCUGGGCCUUAAGAAAGAGUAAGGCCAGGCCGGAUGCGGUGGCUCACGCCUGUAAUCCCAGAACUUUGGGAGGCCGAGGCAGGUGGAUCACAAGGUCAGUAGAUCGAGACCAUCCUGGCCAACAGGGUGAAACACCGUCUCUACUAAAAUACAAAAGAAAUUAGCCAGGCAUGGUGGCAUGCGCCUUGUAGUCCCAGCUACUUGGGAGGCUGAGCCAGGGGAAUAGCUUGAACCCACGAGGUGGAGGUUGCAGUGAGCCAAGAUCACGCCACUGCGCUCCAGCCUGGCGACAGAGCAAGACUCCAUCUAAAAAAAAAAAAUUAAACAAAAGAGUAAGGCCAGGAGUAGGCCAAUGAGGAGCUGGCUACAGCUAAGGUGAGUAUUGUGGACAGGGGUUUAGGUGGUUCUCUACUUGGGGGACCAAAGUGGAGAGAGUGACAGGGUGAGUCCCAGUGAGUAUACACAAGGAGCUGCCCAAAGCAGAUGCUAGGAGGACUCCAGGUAACAUCCAAGCCCAAAGGCACCAUCCAAGAUUGGACCUACGUGCAGCUCCACGACAGCUGCUAACACCCAACACAGCACUGAAGCCACCUGACUCACGCACUGGGACACUGGCUGGAAUUCUGGAGAGUCUGAUGGAAUCAGCAUAGGUGAGGUGUCUCCUUAUUCAAUCAUAUUUGGCCAGGAGCUGAGAUCACCUAAUACAAACAUGCCUACCUAGCUCCCCCUCCCUUUGCCAGGGCUUUAGGAGCAUGCCUAGAAAAGGGGGCAUGAGGGCAUUGGAGUACCCCCAGUGUAUCUAUAACAAAUGUGUCUACACCCAAUGUAUCCGACAAAUGGUUGUCCAGCUGGCUUAGGGUGAAGGAGUGGGACAUGAGGAACGAUGGAGCUCCUUUCCUGAGGCUGCAUAAAUCUCCCCUGACCAGGGGUCAGCUCUCUCCUCCAGCCUGGGGGGUAGUGCCCUGAGCAUGGUGAUAAUGGGCUCAGGAGGCUGCUGCCGGAGGGAGCAGAGGAAUGGAAGGUGAUGAGCUAAGCGGGGUGGAGGGGGGGCUGCAUCUUUGGAGAUUUAUAGUCACCAGCCCCCAAUCCAGACGGACUUCUUGGCUGAAAGCAACAAGCAGCCGCAGAGCUUGUAAAUGCAAUGAACCAUCAAGGUUAGAAAAAACUGCAUCCGGCAACUUUGAGCUCAGCAUCCUUUUAUUAAAUGGGUUAUUUGGCUAUUUGAACAAUCUAUUGUAACUCAGUCCAUUGACACGGUCAAGAAGGUGAUCAGAUUAGAAUCUGAAGAGGAUGAGAAGCACCAAAUCACAUCUCCGAUGUCACGGAGGCUAAAUCUACACAUAACCCAAAUCCACAUAUAACACGUCAUCCUCUAAGAGGCACCCUUGCAAUUGCAGGAUUUCAGCAUUUACAGGCCAUUUCCAGCACCAUAGCAACCCAAACUGCACAAUACAUAACAGCAUCUGGAGAUUCUCAGCCCUGAGCCAGGGGCCUAAGAAAAAGAAGUCACGGCAGCAUUGAGAUGACGAGUUCAUUCACUGAAGGAACUAAAAUUGAGAAUUUAAGAUACAAAAGUUCAAUAAGUUAUUGACUUGAUGACAAUUUUCUCUCUUAUAAUCUAGAAGAGAAAAAAAGGGGUAUUACUGUGCCUCAGGUCUUCAUUUUGACCAACAGGAGAGUGCCAAGUGGCAGGGACGAAAUGGCAUCAUUUCGAAGGAGGGCCAUUGCAGAAUGGCCAGAGAUACAAAAGCUGGACAACUGACUUAGUUAUCCUGACUCUUUUUUUUUUGAGACAGGGUCUCUCUCUGUCAUCCAGGCUGGAGUGCAGUGGCGCUAUAAGGGCUCUCUGCAGCCUCCAUCUCCCAGGCUCAAUCCAUCCUCCCACCUCAACUUCCUGAGUAGCUGGGACUACAGGUGCACACUACCACACCUAGGUAAUGUUCUUUUUUUUUUUUUUUUUUUUUGUAGAGACUGGGUCUCUCUCUGUUGCCCAGGCUGGUCUUGAAAUCCUGGGCUCAGGAGAUCCUCCCACCACAGCCUCCCAAAGUGCUGGGAUGACAGCCAGGAGCCACCAUGCCCGGCCUGUCCUAACUCUCAAGAAAGCGGCUCUCAAAAUGUGUAGAGAAAAGGUAUAUGUGUCCCAAGGGUCUGGAACAUUCUGAUUUUACACCUACAGACCCCAGUGAAGGGCAGUGGAGUGCAAAGCAACAUAGCCACACAAGGUUGAGAUCCCGCUAGCAUAAGGAAGGGGCCUGGGAAGGUCAGAGGGGUUAUGACGAGGCCCUGUGAGCCUUGGCCUCAUCAGUCCUGGGCCACCAAAGGGCAGAGUGGCACUGCAGCAGCCUGCCCCAAGCUCCCUGCUGGAAAAUGCUCCACUUCCCAGAUCAUUUAUCCUCCUAGGUCCUGGUGGCUCAUGGCCUUUUCCCAGCAGCCACUGCUGCCACCUUCACUUCUUUCUUUUUUUUUUUUAAGAGGGAGUCUCCUUUUGUCGCCCAGGCUAGAGUGCAAUGGCAUGAUCUUGGCUCACUGCAACCUCCGCCUCCCAGGUUCAAGAAAUUCUCCUGCCUUAGCCUCCACAGUGGCUGGGAUUAUAGGCGACCACCACCACGCCCAGCUAAUUUUUUUGUUUUUAGUAGAGACAGGGUUUCACCAUGAUCGCCAGGCUGGUCUCAAACCCCUAACCUCAGGUGAUCCACCCACCUCGGCCUCCCAAAAUGCUGGGAUUGCAGGUGUGAGCCACCACGCCUGGCCUCACCUUCACUUCUCUCCCUUCACUUGAUGGCCUUAAACUCAUGCUUCCUGUACCCCUCCAGGCUGUGGCUCUUUGAGGCUGUAGGUCCUGCUACUGUCAACUAUUGCUGGUCCCAGAAGUUAGAGAAGAGUUUUGCCAAGACAUUGUCCAUCGCUCUUUAAAGGCAGCAGGCAGAGCAGUCAGCCAUGCCGAGAGAAUCACAAUUGGAUGUGCACACAGAAGGAGACUCAGGGCAGUACUACUCUACCAUGAUCAUGUUGGCCAACGUUUCUAUCAUUGUAAAUGUUGUCCUCAUUGAGUUGGCACAUUAUGACUCUGUCCAUACAGGAGGCUCAAGCACUCUUUAAAAAGCACUGCAGGGCCAGGCGCGGUGGCUCACACCUGUAAUCCCAACACUUUGGGAGGCCGAGGUGGGCGGAUCACCUGAGGUCAGGAGUUUGAGAUCAGCCUGGCCAAUAUGGUGAAACCCUGUCUCUACCAAAAAUACAAAAUUAGCCGGGUGUGGUGGCAGGCACCUGUGAUCCCAGGUACUCGGGAGGCUGAGGCAGGAGAAUCACUUGAACCCAGGAGGUAGAGGUUGCAGUGAGCCAAGACUGUACCACUGCACUCCAGCCUGGGUGACAGACCAAGACUCUGUCUCCAAAUAAAUAAAUAAAUAAAUAAAUAAAUAAAUAAAUAAAUAAAGCCCUUCAGUUUCCCUCCUGUCUGCCCCAGGAGUGUGACACCCUCUUACCCCAACCUUUGCAGUUCAUCUGAUUCUUUGAGUGUGCCCCUGAGUUGUCCCUCUUGCUAGCCUAUUCCAGCUGAUGACGCAUUAGACAGUUUAUCUGGCUUUCUGCUGUGACAUUUCCCCAGUGUCCUAACUUUCAAGUUGUACUCUAGGGCCAGAUGAGCAGCCCAUCUGACCUGGCUUCUCAGGGCCCACCACCUGCUCACCAAAGGCCCACUUCUCUAGGAGAAUAAAAAUCAGACAAAAAUAAUACUGAUUCUUUCUCUCUUUCUCUCUCUCUCUCUCUCUUCCUUUCUCUUUCUUUCACUCUCCUCUGUCUCUUCCUCUUUUUCUUUUUUUUUCAGACAGAGUUUCUCUCUGUCACCUAGACUGGAGUGCAGUGAGCCAUCUCAGCUCACUGCAACCUCCACCUCCUGGGUUCAAGCGAUUCUCCUGCCUUAGCCUCCCAAAGUGCUGAGAUUAUAGGCGUAAGCCACUGUGCCUGGCCUUUCUCUUUCUCUCUCUCUCUUUCUUUCUCUCUGAGAUGGGGGUCUCAAUAGCAAGACCCUGUCUCUACAAAAAAUUAAAAAGUAGCUGGGUGUGGAGGCACAAUCCCGUAGUCCCAGCUGCUUGGAAGGCUGAAGCAGGAGGAUCACUUGAGCCCAGGAGUUUGAGGUUGAAAUGAGCUACUGCACUCCAGCCUGAGCAAAAGAGUGAGACCCUCUCUCUAAAUAAAUAAAUGAAUAAGAAGAUAUGGAAAAUAUAGAUAGAAAUAAAGAAUAAAAUGAAAGUUAUCCAGAUAUCCCAAACCAAGAGAUAUAACCACAGAUAAAAUUUUAAGAAAUUUCCUGAAAGAUAUUAUUUGAAUAUAUCAUCAUUGGACUUGGUUUGUGUAUGUUUCUAUGUAUAUAUUCUGCUUUUGAAAACUCACAUUUGUCAUUUCCCUAUGUAAUUCCAUGUGUGUACACAUUGUACAUAGAUACAUACCCACACCUAAACCAAGUCCUUAACACUAUUAUAAACAACAGUUGCAGUGAACAUAUUUGUCCUAAAGUUUUUCUCUAGAUCUCUAUUUUAAACAUACAUACCUUAUCAACAUACAAACACUGUAGAAAUGAAUCUGUUUUGUAAAUGCUCCCACUUCUUAACCCUUAACGUUCUGAUGGACAGCCUGAUGUCACAGAAAGCAACACAGAAUCUGGAAUCAGAAUUCCUGAGAUGGUUUGGCAGCAUCACCACCUACUUCCUGUGACUUGGGCAAAUCAAUUAAUCUCUCUGAGCUGUUUCCUCAUCUGUAAAUUUUAAAUUAAGGUAAUGAUAACACCUGCCAAGUCUCUUACACCUCAUGGGGUUAGAGUGAGAAGCAAACGACAUCACAGAUGUGAGAAACUUUGUGUGGGUAAGUGAGUAGGCGAGCUUGUUAUACUUCAAAAAAGAGCAUUGCACACAUUUUUCUCUAUUUUAGCUCAGACCUCUGGUCUCCUGGAAAGAUGUGAAAUGACUUGGCAUACAGAAAAAGAGGUCCAAGAAGCUGAGAUGAAUUAUUCCCUGUUAUAAGUAAAAUGUUUAUUUAGAAACAGAAUGCUUGGUCUUCGGUAUUGUGAGGAAAAAUCGGCAUUUAGAUAAAAAGUUUUCUUAGCAAGGCAAUUUUACUUUCUGCAGGAAGGGUGCUCCUCACAGAUGGAACAAUGGUGAGAGCACACUUGAACAGAGGAGGGAAGCAAUUUUUAUCCCUUACGUAGUUUGUCCCUGUUACUGUGUCCCGUUUCCAUUGGCUGGAGCCAGACCUCACAAUCUAAACUGAACCUGAUUGGCUAACAGCUCAAACAUUUUUUUAAAUAGGUAAAAACAAUGGAGAACAGAGGAAAAGAAGAAGCUGCUUAGGAAAGGACUUAGAAAAGUAACAAUAUUCUUUUAUAUAUACAUUUUUAUUAUACUUUAAGUUUUAGGGUACAUGUGCACAACAUGCAGGUUACAUAUGUAUACAUAUGCCAUGUUGGUGUGCUGCACCCAUUAACUUGUCAUUUACAUUAGGUAUAUCUCCUAAUGCUAUCCCUCCCCCCUCCCCCCACCCCACAACAGGCCCCGGUGUGUGAUGUUCCCCUUCCUGUGUCCAUGUGUUCUCAUUGUUCAAUUCCCACCUAUGAGUGAGAACAUGCAGUGUUUGGUUUUCUGUCCUUGUGAUAGUUUGCUGAGAAUCAUGGUUUCCAGCUUCAUCCAUGUCCCAACAAAGGACAUGAACUCAUCCUUUUUUAUGGCUGCAUAGUAUUCCAUGGUGUAUAUGGGCCACAUUUUCUUCUAGAAGCUCAGCUUCUUCUUGAACUUUUCUAGUGAUGGGAAAUUGUAUACAUCCCCAGGCAAACUUUUUCAUCACUGGACGGUUGAAAUAAAAGCUGCUCCUGGUUCUCAUAGAAUAAGUCUAAUUCCUCUUUUGGCUACAGCUAUUUUUUUUAAUGCUGUGCACAUUUUAUAGUCCUUUACUGUUCAGACUUGGAAAGCUAGGAUGAAAUAAAUAUUUACUAAACACCCCUCCCCCUGCAAAAAAAGAAAAAGUAAUAAUAUUCUUAAAUAAGGAAGGGGCAUAGGCUGAGAGCUGGGGCAUGGCUGUGAGCACAUCCAGUACACAUAUUUUGGUUAAAGUACAAGGACAUAGAAUGUACUACAUGCCUGUGAGCAUGUCUAGCACAAGUAUUUUGGUUAAAGUGUAAGGACAUCGAUGUACUUACUCCUUUAUAUCUAACAGCUACAUAGGAUAGGGCUUAACAAAGAGUUAUUAGCACAAAGCAAGGAGGCUUGAAGGAAGUUAGUCUUUAAAAGAAAUUAUUAUUUCUAACACUUAUGGUUUAUUCUUUAAUAAGAAGGGAAAUUUGAAGAGGAACUUUUUACUUUCUACAUUCCCCUUUAAUUCAUGGCACAGUUGGGACUACUUAUUUUCAUAUGAGGACAUUCAAUAAACAGACUUUACUAAUGAAUUUGAAAAGGCCUGUGUUUCCUUUACAGUAGCUAACCUGCUUUUAUGCUUUUAACCAUUUUUGAUUAUUGUUUCCUUUUUUUAUUUGCUUUUUUUUUUUUUAGACAAGUUCUCAUUUUAUUGCCCAGACUGAAGCGCAAUGGUGCAAUCAUAGCUUACCUCGGUCUCGACCUCCCAGGAUCAAGCAAUCCUCCCACCUCAGCCUCCCAAGUAGCUGGGACUACAGGCACACACCACCACACCUGGCUAAUUUUAUAUACAUAUAUAUAUAUACUUUGUAGAGACAGGAUUUCGCCAUGUUGCUCUGACUGGUCUCGAACUCCUGGGUUCAAGUGAUCCUCUUUCCUUGGCUUCCCAAAGUGCUGGGAUUACAGAGGUGAGCCACCAUACCUGGCCUAGUAGAACUUAUCUUUAGGUGGUCCUGUACCCGGGCCUGCCAUGUUCAUUUCUUUUCAUUCAUUAAUUCAACAAACACUGAGCAGUCUCCAUGUGACAGAAUGUGCUCAGCGGGGGGGAAAGGCCUGGUGCUUGCCCUUGUGGCCCAUAGUGUCCAGAUAAACCCUGUACUGCAGAGGAAAUGUGUGCUGUGACAGAGGUGGGCACGGGGGCCAGGUAGUCCUUGUCCAGGAAAGUUCCUCAGAGAAGGACCACCUGAACUGAAUUUCGAAGGAUAAGUAGGAGGAACUAGAGGGCUUUCUGGCACCUUCUUUAUUAUACAGUAAGGGCAACCCAGUUCUUUUGUCUUUUUUUUUUUUUUUUUUUUUGAGAUGGAGUCUCACUCUGCUGCCCAGGCUGGGGUGCAGUGGCGCAGUCUCAGUUCACUGCAACCUCUACCUCCCAGGAUCAAGCAAUUCUCCCGCCUCAGCCUCCCCAGCAGCUGGUACUACAGGCGCCCGCCACCAUGCCUGGCUAAUUUUUGUGUUUUUUGUAGAUACAGGGUUUCACCAUGUUGGCCAGGCUGGUCUUGAACUCCUGAUCCUCCUGCCUCGCCCUCCCAAAGUGUUGGGAUUACAGGCAUGAGCCACCGCACCUGGCCAGGUAACCCAGUUCUUAAAGAGGCUGGACUUGCUGCAGUCAGGAGUGAGCUGUACUUUCCUCCCACCGCUGCUUUGCAAACCUCCUUUGCUGACUCUUUCCCUCCGAGAGGACACUCCAGCAGAUCCCAUGCCUUCCCAGUGGCUUCUAGGUGUUGGCCAACCGUCCUCUUUUUAUAUAAUAAGAGUGUGAUCUGAUUUAAAUCAAAACCGCAAUUUCAUUGCCAAUUCAAAGCUUCUCCCUUUCUCCCAAGGUGAGCCCAGAGGGGCCAGAGCCCAUCUUUCCUGUCUUCUGCAUCCCACCUCUUCAACUUGCUGACUGCUGCCAGCAGCUCCUCCAGGCUUGGGACAUGGAGAAGGAAGGGAGGGCAAAGGAUCACACGUGAAUUUUUACUUAGCUUGUUAUGUUCACUGUGUUAUCAAAUGCCUUUGUGAUGGUAGGUGGCUAAAUGCUGACUUUCUCUUGGGAUCCACUGGGGUGGGUAGAGGUGGGGGUUAGGGUCCCACUCACACCUCCAGCACUCCCUGACAUGAACACGUCUCUGAUACAGGUGGGAACUGACCUCUCCCACACUCCCAGCUUCCAUGCCACUGCCCCACUCCUUUAUGGGUGGCCUUUGGCCCGCUCUGACCCACCCAAGGGCUUUUCCAAGUUCAUCACUAGUAGCACCUCUGGGAGAAUCUCUGCAGUCCUGCAGACAUCAACCUGAGGGGUGAGCUGGCAGUCUCUCCUUCUGGCAAGCACCCUACUCCCUAGGGUGGUCCUGUCAGUGCCCCCCUUCCUUGCCUUGAGGAGGGAGGGUGUGGGGAGAGCCACAGUGCCCACUACCCCCGAGUCUGGCAGCCCUUCUCAGCCCCUCUUCACUCCCACAUGUGCGGUAGGUGGAGGCGGGGCACGCCUGCAGAUCCAGCCUGGCUCUCUCUCUGCCUUUCUGCUGUGAUGUGUCCCUGUCCCUUCUCUAAAAUAGGGCGACCCUUGUCACUCACCAACCUUUCUUCCUAGACAGAAAAAAUUACAUAAACAAAUGGGACUACAUUUCAAUCAGUCACUGUGGGUCAUUUGUCUGCACCCAUCGCAGGAAGAGGCUUUGUUUUGUUGUCGUCAUUGAAGUCGGUUUUUUUAAUUUUUAUUUAUUUAUUUUUUUGAGACGGAGUCUUGCUCUGUCAUCCAGGCUGGAGUGUGGUGGCACAAUCUUGGCUCACUGCGACCCCCACCCCCCGGGUUUAAGCAAUUCUCCUGCCUCAGCCUCCCAAGUAGAGUAGCUGGGAUUAUAGGUGCCUGCCACCACGCCCAGCUAAUUUUUAUAUUUUUAGUAGAGACGGGGUUUCACCAUGUUGGCCAGGCUUGCCUCGAACUCUUGACCUCAGGUGAUCUGCCCGCCUUGGCCUCCCAAAGUGCUGGGAUUACAGGCUUGAGCCACCAAGCCUGGCCAAAAGUCAUUUUAUUAGCUAAAUAGCGGAAAGCAAUCUGACGUGGAGGUUCCCUGUAAGUGUCAGUGACUACAUGGUCACCAGCUCCAGAAUUCUGUUCUCAGCCAUCAGGACAGUGGAAGAAGCCAAGUGGGAAGGGCUGAGUGGGAGGCCUGCCCCACAGGUCCAGCUGGACUGGGAACUGGGAGAACUGGCUGGAAGAGACCAGGAAGUUUGUGGUAGGACUCCUAGAGCCAGGAACCUCUGAGGAUGGCCCAAGAAGAGGCUAGUGGAGGGGCCAUCGGAGCUGAAGCCUCAUUAGUCAUGGUUCAGGCCUGGUACACAGUGGGUCCUCAGUAUUUUUUUUUGAGUCCCACAUUAAUAUAGCUAUUCAGACAAGAGAAUUGUCAGUACCAUAUCUUGCUUUCAGGAACUCUUAUGCAAUGACUAUGAAGACAAAGCAAAGCUUUUCCCCUAACACUCUUUGUUUGUUUGUUUUUUGAGACAGAGUCUUGUUGUGUCACCCAGGCUGGAGUGCAGUGGCACAAUCUUAGCUCACUGCAAUCUCCACCUUCUGGGUUGAAGCAAUUCUCCUGCCUCAGCUUCCUGAGUCGCUGGGACUACAGGCAUGCGCCACCACGCCUGGCUAAUGUUUUUUGUAUUUUUAGUAGAGACAAGGUUUCGCCAUGUUGGCCAGGCCUGUCUUGAACUCCUGACCUCAGGUGAUCCACCUGCCUCAGCCUCCCAAAGUGCUGGGAUUACAGGUGUGAGCCACCACACCCGGCUAAUUUUUGUUUUUGUUGUUGUUUCUUUUGAGACAGUUUCACUCUGUCGCCCAGGCUGGAGUGCAGUGAUCUUGGCUCACUGCCACCUCCACCUCCUAGAUUUGAGCAAUUCUUGUGCCUCAGCCUCCUGAGUAGCUGGGAUUACAGACAUGCAUCGCCCACGCCUGGGUAAUUUUUUUGUAUUUUUAGUAGAGACAGAGUUUCACCAUGUUGGCCAGGCUGGUCUCGAACCCCUGACCUCAAGUGAUCUGCCUGCCUCAGCCUCCCAAAAUGCUGGGAUUACAGGCAUGAGCCACUGCACCUGGCUUUUUCCAACACUCUUUAAUGAAUUAAUUUAUUUUUUUGAGACAAGGUCUCAGUCUGUCACCCAGGCUGGAGUGCAGUGAUGCCAUCAUGAUUCACUGUAGCUUCAAUCUCCUGAGUUCAAGUGAUCCUCCCACCUCAGGCUCCCGAGUAGUUGGGACCACAGGUGUAUGCCAUCACACCCAGUUAAUUUUUGUAUUUUUUGUAGAGUCAGUGUUUCACCAUGUUGCCCAGACUGAUUUCAAACUCCUGAGCUCAAGCAACCUGCCUGCCUUGGCCUCCUAAAGUGCUGGAAUUACAGGCAUGAGCAACCUCUCCUUUUUUUUUGAGAUGGAGUUUCACUCUUGUUGCCCAGGCUAGAGUGCAAUGGCGUGAUCUCAGCUCACUGCAACCUCUGCCUCCCAGGUUCAAGCGAUUCUCCUGCCUCAGCCUCCUGAGUAGCUGGAUUACAGGCACCCGUCACCACACCUGGCUAAUUUUUGUAUUUUUAGUGGAGAUGGGGUUUUGUCAUGUUGGCCAGGCUGGUCUUGAACUCCUGACCUCAGAUGAUCCAACCACCUCGGCCUCCCAAAGUGCUGGGAUUACAGGUGUGAGCCACCGUGCCCAGCCUAGCAACCUCUCCUUAAAAUGAAUUUUGAAGCAAGAGCAUUUACAUCUCAGGGGGACCGACAUUAAAUUUUAAGAUCGUACUAGAAGGGCCAGGUGCAGUGGGAGGUAGAGGCUAUGGUGAGCUAUGAUUGUGCCACUGCAUUCCAACCUGGGUGACAGAGGGAGUCCCUGUCUCAAAAAAAAUAAAGAAGAUUGUACUAGAUUUGCCAUGUAAGAAGAAUCAGGACAUUAUUUAAUU
rnacentral:lncRNA from 1 species